CGCCUGCGGGCGGACACGCGCGGGGUCAGCAGGCGCCAGGGCCCCGCCCACCCAACCCCCCAGUCGUCACGGAGGCCCCGCGGCGGGUCAGUUACAUCCCGCCCGCGAGGCGGUGCGGUACCGGUGUGGGACGAACGGCCGUGCUGACACUGGGACUCGUUCGGCUCGCCCCUGCUGGGGACUUUUCCGAGGAGCGCGCCCCUGGCAGACCCUCCUUUCUGUAAAACCCUCGCCCCUGUUCUCGUGCCUGCUCCGAUGGCCCCAGCAUCAAGCUCUCUGCAGUACAGGGUACCUGUUAAGGCUUCCCUUUGACUCUGCCUGGGUCUUAAAUUGUUUUGACUGCCUUGUGCCCAGCCCGGUUCCCGAAGCGCUAUUUCCUGAGCCUUUGGUGUCCUAAGGGGCUCUGCUCUUUCUCUUGACCCAUUGGCACGGCGGUAACGGAAUGUCUAUGGCUGCGUCUACACUCAGGCUGGAUCCACAGGCCGCCGAGCGAACUCCUAACUCGUAGCCGCCCUUCGGGGUAACAUCCCGGGACACUGCCGGUCCUUUCGUGGACGGCGAUUAUCCCAUUUUGACUGCCGGCGCACUCACCAGCAUAGGCAAAAGGCAGCUGAUCAGCUGUCUGCUCGCGCGGGUAGGAUACGAGGCUACUUCGUUGGGCUUCUGGGGCGCCCUUAAUCGCCCAGUGUGGUGCUGGACGAAUCCACUCAUAUUAGUCCCAGCUCAGGCUGGCCUUGAACUCACUAUGUAUUCCAGGCUGACUUCGUACUUACAGUAAUCCUCCUGCCUCACCCUCCUGAAUAGCUGUGCACCACCACCUCCAGCUUCGCUCAGACUUUAUAGAUACUCAUCUCUGAACCAGACAGCUGUCCAGCUCAGUGGUCAUUAUGCUGCUGCCCAAAAGAAAGGCUCGCGAAGACAGACGCAGCCGGAAACUGAAAACACGUCAUCACAGCAGCUAGGCUCUUUAGAGUCUCAUGAAUAUCUGCUACAGGUUUUCUAGGAAAGAUUGUGUAUUUUCGGAAAUUAGGUCACACUUUUGAGGAGAUUUUAGCAUGCAGUGCACCGUUGUAUGAUUAAGGUAAAGAGGCUGCUGCACCAAAUAGAAAAACAAAUCCAAGGUAGAUCGAGGUAGCAGAGUUCCAGUUCAAGGGGGUCUCUGCUUUGCGCGUUAUUUAGGGAGCUAGUUUUGUGGGGGUCCCAAGAACUCUAACAGGUGACUUCCAGAGGUGCUCUGGCCAUGGAUACAUGGCCAGUUUUGGGGAAAGGAACUGCAUUAUGACCUGUACCCUAAUUCCAGGCCACUGGAGACUCUGAUGUGGGUACCACCCUAGUUUCCACAUCUACUGUCUAAUCUCCCACUCAGCAGAAAGCUUUCAAGUCCAUCAAGUUCCUGACACAAAAUCCCUAAACCCUGCCAAGGCUGACUGUGGUGCAUGGGAGACCUCAACAAGAGCGAACGCUGUCUCACACCAAGGCCCCAGGAUGGGAAGCUACUUUGACAGACAGAUGGACAGUGAGGCCAAAUAGGACUCUACGCUAUGAGAAUGUGUGUGUCUCAUCCUCAGACUUGAAGUCAUGAUUUAGAAGAUGCAAAUGUUAUUGCCUAAACGUUACACUGUACAUUUCUACCAGGGUUCAGGAAAACACUUUCACUGCUACUGUAUUUAAGUGAUAAUCAAUAGGCUAAAGUUUCAGCUCACUGGCAAUUUUCGAAGCAAUGUUUUUGAACACCACAGGUGUGCCUGCCUUCCAUGAAAGUGGACCCCAUUCAGAAAGUCUUGGCAGCCGACAGACCGCCAUCUCCCACUGCACAGGCUUCUCACCAGGCCCACAGCCUCGGCUAGAGAAGGACGGCAGUGCCCCCUGCUCGGAGAAGCAAUCCUGUCCACGCAGGACAUUCUGGAUCUCCCGCAGCCUGUCCCUGGGAUCCAUGGAACUAGUGGUUUUCAUUCUCCAAGCGAAGCGGGGGGCCUGAGGUUCUGCUUUCUUUCUUUCCAUACUUUGUUAGAUGCUCUGCAAUGCCUUGUGAGUCUUAAAGUGAAGUUAGGAAAGCGCUCACGGGGUCCUCGACAUUUGAGGCAGGGACUGGCCUGUCAUCCUGGGAGAGCUGGGCGAGGGGGCUGGGCCGCCGUACCUCACAGUUCCUCCCUCCUGGGGCUGGCAGUGUGAAGUGCAGCCCAUGCACUGGGUUGCUGCUUGGCACGUGGAUGCCAUCCUGGGUUGUUGCACCGCUAGUACUGUGAGUUGCAGCACCUGUGGUUCUCUGACCAGGAAUGAUGCUGCUGUCUUUCACAUUAUAAAUCACCAAGUGCUUAUCUGCAGGUCUCUUACGCCAAAGGGUUUUGCUUCCUCAUUCCAAAGGAUUCUGUGCUGCCACUACAGGACGCAGCCAGCCUUUCCUUUCAUGUUUAGGUUAGCAGUCAGGAUCACUUGUAUAGAACUUGACAGCUCUUCCAGAUUUCCAGGAGGAGAUUUCUCCUUCCCGAGACCACUGUUUGCGGUGCUGCUGUGACUUCUUCAGAUGGGAAACAGCUGAAGGAAGAGCCGGUCCCGCCAGGCCAGGGUGCAGUCUGAGUCCUGCUGCGCGACAAGCUCGUCUGCUCUUCGGGGCCAGAAGCCUGGCAGUGCUCUCGCCUAGGGCGCUUUCUGGCCACGCGCUGGCCAGUGAAGGACUCCUGCCGGCCUGGAGUGAGGGGUCCGGCUCCAAAGAUCUCCUCCCCGGCAAACACAGGUAGCUGAGUUUUCACUUUUGCUCUCUGCAGGAGGUUCACGAAUUUCUGUUUCUGAGACUCCCGUGACAGCCGUCACGUUUAUUCUUUUCUGGUCUGAGAUGUUUGGCUCUGGUAGUGGGCAUUUCACAUUCAUCCCUCCACAUAGGCGCUGCCCCGUGACCUGACCCAGAACGCUGUGCUUCUUGGGUUUCGGACGAGGAAUGGCCUCGGGAACUCUUCUCAGUCUGUGGAGAGGUAGAAAGGGGUUCUGUGUCUCCCCAUGAGCAGUCUUUCUUGAACUUGCUUGGGAUUCCUUCCAUUAAAGAGGAGCAACCCACUGAUUAGAUUACAUAAACCACGCUGCGAUCCCUGCCCCCCGCAAUCCACUUCCGGCCCUUGUCCUCCUGGGAGUAUCGAGAUGUGUGUCCAGUUUGCUGCUCGCAGUCGAUUCCGUGCUGACUCUGAAAUCUGCUAUCUGAAAUCUGUUCGUAUCCUCAUCCGUCAAUAUUUUCUCAGUGUUUAGGUCUCUUCAUGUUACCCCUUAUAGUGGCAGGAUCCCACUGCAGACAGACCCUGUCUAAAUUUGCCUCUUGAUUCUUGCUCAGCCCUCCAAGUUCCAACGUGGCUGGAUCUCGGGAGAUGCUGACUGCUUCACUUCCUGGUGUGCCCGCUGCUUGCUGUGCCACUGUCGCUUCCCAGGAAGGAUUGCGCGCCACUUUCUUGCUCAGCGCCCUAAGCUCCAGCAUGGCUGGUUCUCAGGAGAUGCUUACCUCUUGGGUUUUUUUGUUCACUUUUUUAUGGGCAACCAAAUAGUUACACAUUUUACUUCUAUUUUGCAUAUUACCCUCGCAGGUUAUUUUCAGCCGUCUGUAUUUUCCUAUUUCUUCUGCACAGAAAGCUAUUGAUUUUCUACUUUGUACCCCAGAGCCCCCUUUGGGGAAGUGGAGUCUUGUAACCAGUGUCAUGGGAGGGGUGGAACAUCCUUGUCAGUUUCCUGAUCAUUGUCUUCUGUGUCUAGAUAGCAGUCUUCUUUGGAUGUUGUAAAAGAAUAAAGAUAAGGGGGCUGGGGAUUUAGCUCAGUGGCAUAAGUGCCUGCCUUGCAAGCAAGCAGUUGAGUUCGAUCCCCGGUACCGAUAAAAAGGAAAAAGACACACACACACAAAAAAAAAAGAAUAAAGAUAAGUGUCUGAAUGUAAACUAAUAAAUAUAUCUUGGUAUCAUGGGCAGGAUUAGGAUCAGGAAGGGCUGGGAAGGGAAACAGAAGGGAAGGGAUGGGAAGAAAAGACAAGGAAAGCCUGAGAACAGGAAGAGCGUAUCCAAAACUCACUACAAAAGCCUUGUACGACAGCAGAUGCCUCCCCACUUAAAUUACCUGUCUGGGGCUCAGCGGCCUAAGCGCCAGCCUGGCAAGCGCAAGGUCAUGAGUUCAAUCCCUGGUACCAAAAAAUAAAUAAGUAAAUAAGU